AAAAACUUGGAGAAAAAUACAAGCAUUGAAUUGAAUCAUCACAAAUUGUGGUACCGUCACCAUCGCCGGAACGCACGUGCGCUUCGUGGAAGACAAUCUUUCACAAAAGGAAAGCACGGAUGCUAUGAUGCAAAAGGCAGUGUGGACAGUAUGUUUUCUGACGAUCUAAUAUACCACUUCAAUUUAGAGGGGCGCAAGGAGAAGGAAUCCCUACUAAAGCUAAAGUGCGUAGGGUUAGUUUUUGAAAUAUUUCUUGACAAGGACAAAAACACUAUCUGUGGGGAGCUCUGGAGAUUUGUGACCUUAAGCCACAAUCGUUUUUAACAAAAAAAAACAUAAACUUAAGGCUAAAUUAAUAUAAGUUUUCUUAUUAUUAAUUACAUAUACAUAUAUAUUAGCUUUAAGUUGUAAAUAUUAGUUUUAAGUUGAUGUUUCUAAUAUCACUUUUAAACAUAUGAAUUAUUAUAAUUUUAAUUUUUAUA